CGCACAUUGCGCCCCUUGGUAUUCCAGGGGGCAUGCCUGUUCGAGCGUCAUUUCAACCCUCAAGCUCUGCUUGGUAUUGGGCUUCUGUCAGUAAAAUGACAGGCCUCAAAAUCAGUGCCGGCGCCGUUGGGUCCUGAACGUAGUAAUAUAUUUCGUUACAGGUUCUCAAUGUGCUUCUGCCAUUAAACCCUAAAUUUUCUAUGGUUGACCUCGGAUCAGGUAGGGAUACCCGCUGAACUUAA
rnacentral:misc_RNA from 1 species